ensembl:snRNA U4 U4 spliceosomal RNA
AGCUUUGCGCAGUGGCAGUAUCGUAGCCAAUGAGGUUUAUCCGAGGCGUGAUUAUUGCUAAUAGAAAAUGUAUUUGUAUAAUAUAAAGAUUAAAAUAUAUGGAAAUAAACAGUCUCUUUCUCAGAAACAUACUUUA